UCAGGCAGCCAAGAGGACAUCUUCUUGCUAUAUGGGACAUCAUUUACACAACGAGAGUGGAAAUACAUAGCGUAUUUUGAAUGGACAUUUACAGUGCCACAACCGAGGCUCUUAGACGCCGGCUUCUCACCGUGGCGUACUCUGUCCAAUUUCAUCGUGUGGAAUGUGUGGUGGACAAAGUUGAACUGAGAUUGUACACCAUGCAACAUAUCGUGUCACAUGCAGCGAAGAACUCAGCAGGAAGAAGCAACACGUGUGCGCAUUCGAGAGACCUACACAUGAAACAGCAGCAACAACAGAACGCAGCAGUUUUCCCAUUAGAUAUAAUCUAACACCUGAUGAUGACCAUACUGGCCGAAACAUGGUGUAACCUUUAAAUUUUAAAUUUAAAAAUUCACAUUUU